GGCAGUGGUAGCUCAGUGGAUGAGCUAAGAUGUUGGACUACUGCUCGGAAGGUUGAGAGUUCAAAUCCCAACACUGCCA